AGAGUUUGAUCAUGGCUCAGGACGAACGCUGGCGGCGUGCCUAACACAUGCAAGUCGAACGAGUCCACCCUUCGGGGUGAGGCGAGUGGCGGACGGGUGAGUAACACGUGAGCAACCUAUCUCUGUGUGGGGGACAACCCGGGGAAACCCGGGCUAAUACCGCAUGGGCGGUCACCUCGGGUGAGGAGACCGGGAAAGACGGCCUCUUGACAAUGCUGUCGUGCAGAGCGGGGCUCGCGGGCUAUCAGCUAGUUGGUGCGGUGAUGGCGCACCAAGGCGACGACGGGUAGCUGGUCUGAGAGGACGGCCAGCCACACUGGGACUGAGACACGGCCCAGACUCCUACGGGAGGCAGCAGUGGGGAAUCUUGCGCAAUGGGCGAAAGCCUGACGCAGCGACGCCGCGUGGGGGAUGAAGGCCCUCGGGUUGUAAACCCCUUUCGGCAGGGACGAAGCCGCAAGGUGACGGUACCUGCAGAAGAAGCUCCGGCUAACUACGUG
rnacentral:rRNA from 1 species